rnacentral:lncRNA from 1 species
GGAGGUCAGGCUGAGCGGCUGGGAUCUGGUGGUCGGCCGGCGAGGCACCUGAGGCGGAUGUCCCCGGUCUCAGUAGUGCGGACGCGAGGUCAGGUGGUGGCCUGGCUGGAGGAGGUCCGACCAGAGCUGGGAGCCAUGGAUUUUUCCAAGUUUUCCAUCGGGUAAUUUUUUCUUCUGAAAAUCAUUAAUUUGCACCUCUGCCCCACGUACAACAUCCACCCACCCACGGAGCCAAGACCCAAGUCAUCUGGCUUGCCUCUCCGUCAUGCUGCCUCCGCACUGGCUGCCUAGCUUCCCCCGCAGGGCCGACCCCUGGCGGCCUUCCUCCCAUAUGUCGCCGCCCCAUCGACAAGUGCCAACGGCCUACGUCGCGGCUCAGGCGCCUCCCACCACGCCCCUCCUCUCCAAUCACAGGUUCCAUCCUGUGAUCCAAAGUUUCCCUCGUCGCCGGCUCCGGACGGAGCCGCCGCCAUCGGUGGGCAUAUCCUUCUAUAAGAUCCUCCUAUCUCAACAGUUUGGAUCCACUCAUGGAUUCUUACACGCCCGUCUUUCAUGGAUUCCUGGUCGCUGGCGCGAGCUGUUGAGGCCAAAGCAAUCGAACAUGACAAAGUUUUUGUAGCGGCCGGCUUGUGCGCCGUCUCGGCUUCGGGGUGUUUCUGUCUCAUGACAAACCCUCCCUUGUGUUCUUGGUACGAUUCCAUGGAUGGUGACACUACAUGUGUGUGUGAUUUCUGCCUCGUUUCUAAUCAUUCUACGUUGUAAAGAUAGAAUCAGAAGACCUGCUCUUUUUUCUGUACAGUAAGCAACCAGGAUUUUACAGUGUGUUGCAGGAAACCAGAACCCCUUUUGCUUUGCUACUAUUAUUUUUUGGUAUCCAGGGAAAAUAUGGUGGCAACAAAUAUUUGUCUUGGAUCCACCCCUGCUAUUAAUGUCUCCUAUCUUGUACAACAAAUAUUUGAAAACAUUGCCAUAUUUUGUGGUGGAUGCAGAGACAGAAGCCUCUGCAUUGACAUCUUAAUUGCAACAAAUAUUUCAAAACUAGGGAUGUAUGGCAAAUAUUGUUGCACGGUAAGCCUCUGCAUUUGAAAUAGCUGCUAUUUAUUGGCAACUUUUUGAGGCAACAAGAGGGUGUUAUUUCCUGUACAGGAAGCCUAUUAUACUCAGUCUUCGAACUGAACGAGAAUGCAAUGCUAAUGUAAUAGAGCUGUCACCUUCAUGUAGGAUGCUCCUCUUCCUUCAUUGACUGCUUCUCAUUUUUCUCUUAGUGUAUCUUAUCAGGUCCUGGAAAUAUUGGGAGUGAUCUUAGUGCCAGAAAAUAACAGCCUUAGGAGUGUAGGGUGGACCGGUGGAGCAGGUCGUAAACACUAAGCCCCUUCCAGUGAAACUGUCAGCUUUGUGGCUAGAAAGUUUUUCUUGUGAUGGUAGGACUGAUUGCUCUGCCUACACAUACCCUCUUUUGCUACAUCAUUAGAGCUUAUUCCUUUUACCUUGUUUUUUAUUUCCAGAAGGUUGUAUGAUGGUGUUUCCUUCAUAUGAUUUAUCAUUUGUAGUUUGCACAAACUUAACUUGCAUUAACUUAUUAUUAAAUUUAUAUUAUGUGUGCCUGAUGUCUUUUGCACAUUUUGAUUAUUUGAUUUUGAGAGAUUCUCAAGGUUAGGAUAGUCAUUACUGAUUUUUUAUACUGGCUACUGUAUACAGAACCAAUGUUGCAUUAUGGCCAUUUUGUUCCAUUAUUGAUUUCAAACGAGUAUUUUUAUGCUAAUGUUUUUGGUUCCUAUGCAUGUAUACAGAACUAGGGGGUGGCAAUUUUCAGACUAAAAGAGAAAUAUGCAUGAGAAGUCAAAAACAGGCAUGUCUCGCAACAUAAAAUUACAAAAGAUAAUAAUUUUUACCUUGUUGCUUCUCAGUUUCAAGUUUCUUUAAUUGAUAUAACUAUAAUGUGGUUGACUGUUUAACAUCUCAUGGUCUGAAUCAUGUUUCUUUAGUUUAUACUUUAUAUAACAGGUUAACCCUUUUUGCAAAAAUAAAUAAAUAUAUACAACAUGCUAACCCCCAUAGGCCACCAUUUAGAACAUAUGAAUCAAGUUUCAAUGGCAAUCAAAAUUCACAUCUACCCCCAUAGGCAAUCAAAAUUCACAUGUACCUUGCUCAUGUCCUUUGGCAGGAUUUCACUUGUCAACUCAUCGGUCAUCAUCGCCUUGGGCUUUGGCCGUGGCGUACAACACAACAUCAACAAGGGACGGAAGCAAC